rnacentral:rRNA from 1 species
UACGUAGGGUGCGAGCGUUGUCCGGAAUUACUGGGCGUAAAGAGCUCGUAGGUGGUUUGUCGCGUUGUCCGUGAAAUUCACUGGCUUAACUGGGGGCGUGCGGGCGAUACGGGCAGACUGGAGUACUGCAGGGGAGACUGGAAUUCCUGGUGUAGCGGUGGAAUGCGCAGAUAUCAGGAGGAACACCGGUGGCGAAGGCGGGUCUCUGGGCAGUAACUGACGCUGAGGAGCGAAAGCGUGGGGAGCGAACAGG